GAUGAACGCUGGCGGCGUGCCUAAUACAUGCAAGUCGAGCGAAGCGGGGACGGGUGAGUAACACGUGGAAAACCUCCUAUAAAACUGGGAAAACUUCGGAAAACCGGAGCUAUCCCGGUAACUUAUCGAUGGAUCUUCGCUGCAUUAGCUCGUUGGUAAGGUAACGGCUUACCAAGGCUACGAUGCAUAGCCGACCUGAGAGGGUGAUCAGCCACACUGGAACUGAGACACGGUCCAGACUCCUACGGGAGGCAGCAGUAGGGAAUCUUCCGCAAUGGGCGAAAGCCUGACGGAGCAAUGCCGCGUGAGUGAAGAAGGUCUUCGGAUCGUAAAGCUCUUUUAUUGGGGAAGCGUUACCUGAUCAGAAAGCCACGGCUAACUACGUGCCAGCAGCCGCGGUAAUUC
rnacentral:rRNA from 1 species